rnacentral:rRNA from 1 species
UACCAGCUCUCCGAGUGGUAGGGACGAUUAUUGGGCUUAAAGCGUCCGUAGCCGGCUCAACAAGUCCUCCGUUAAAUCCAGCGAUUCAAUCGUUGGGCUGCGGGGGAUACUGUUGGGCUUGGGGACGAGAGAGGCCGACGGUAUUCUCGGAGUAGGGGUGAAAUCCUAUAAUUCCGGGAGGACCACCAGUGGCGAAGGCUGUCGGCUAGAACGAGCUCGACGGUGAGGGACGAAAGCUGGGGGAGCGAACCGGAUUAGAUACCCGGGUAGUCCCAGCUGUAAACGAUGCGGGCUAGGUGUUAGGGUGGCUACGUGCCACUCUAGUGCCGCAGCGAAGGCAUUAAGCCCGCCGCCUGGGGAGUACGGCCGCAAGGCUGAAACUUAAAGGAAUUGGCGGGGGAGCACCACAAGGCGUGAAGCGUGCGGUUUAAUUGGAGUCAACACCGGAAACCUUACCGGGGGCGACAGCAGGUUGAAGGCCAGAUUGACGAUCUUGCCAGACAAGCUGAGAGGAGGUGCAUGGCCGUCGCCAGUUCGUGCCGUGAGGUGUCCUGUUAAGUCAGGCAACGAUCGAGACCCACACUCCCUGUUGCUACUGAGGAAAGUUUCCAAGGGGCACUCUGGGAGGACAGCCGUCGACAAGACGGAGGAAGGAGUGGGCCACGGCAGGUCAGUAUGCCCCGAAUCCCCCGGGCCACACGCGUGCUGCAAUGGCCGGUACAGUGGGUGUCUUCCUCGAGAGAGGACGGUAAUCCCGAAAACCGGUCGUAGUCUGGAUCGAGGGCUGCAACCCGCCCUCGUGAAACUGGAAUGCCUAGUAACCGCGUGUCACUAACGCGCGGUGAAUACGUCCCUGCUCCU